rnacentral:rRNA from 1 species
CUAAGCCAUGCGAGUCUUUGUAGUAAUACAAGGCAGACGGCUCAGUAACACGUAGUCAACCUACCCUAUGGACAAGAAUAAUCUCGGGAAACUGGGCAUAAUUCUUGAUAGAUCAUAAUGCCUGGAAUGGUUUAUGGUUAAAAUGAUUCGUCGCCAUAGGAUGGGACUGCGGCCUAUCAGCUUGUUGGUGAGGUAAUGGCCCACCAAGGCGAUUACAGGUACGGGCUCUGAGAGGAGAAGCCCGGAGAUGGGUACUGAGACACGGACCCAGGCCCUAUGGGGCGCAGCAGGCGAGAAAACUUUGCAAUGUGCGAAAGCACGACAAGGUUAAUCCGAGUGAUUUCUGCUAAAGAAAUCUUUUGCCAGUCGUAAAACCGCUGGUGAAUAAGGGGUGGGCAAGUUCUGGUGUCAGCCGCCGCGGUAAAACCAGCACCUCAAGUGGUCAGGAUGAUUAUUGGGCCUAAGGCAUCCGUAGCCGGCUUUGUUAGUUUUCGGUUAAAUCCAUGUGCUCAACGCAUGGGCUGCCGAAAAUACUGCAUAGCUAGGGAGUGGGAGAGGUAGACGGUACUCAGUAGGAAGGGGUAAAAUCCUUUGAUCUAUUGAUGACCACCUGUGGCGAAGGCGGUCUACCAGAACACGUUCGACGGUGAGGGAUGAAAGCUGGGGGAGCAAACCGGAUUAGAUACCCGGGUAGUCCCAGCUGUAAACGAUGCAGACUCGAUGAUGCAUUGGCAUAAUAGCCAGUGCAG